CAGGAGUGGAAGCAAGAAGCCUCCUAAGGAGAUGGAUGCUGGAGCUGUGGACGUCCAGCUGUGGAUGGCAGAAGGGCCACUGUCUGAAGUGGGAAGUCUGGACAUUCCCAAAGGAGUCUUUGAAAGACUGGGUCUUCUCCUGAGCCUGAGAGCAGUGCUUCUUCCAAUGGCACUGCUUCCAUUUUAAGCAUCAGCAUGGCCCGGGAGCUUGUUGGAAUGAAGAAUCUCCAGCUCCACCCGAAACCUGCUGAAUCAGAACCAGCAUUUAACACGUCACCAGGAUCCCAGGUCACUUGGCUGUCCUUGGCUCAACUGUGAGUAAGGAGGAGUCCUGCGGAAUGAAAAAUGACUACCCAGAUUUGCCACCAAAAUCCAGCAGGAGUGCCUUAGAAAGCAGGUAAGGCAUAGGAGCCCCAGUCUUGGGGCACAAGAAGAAUGGUCUCCAUCUGUCCGGUCCUCUUCAUGGGAGGAGCCCUUGCCUGUGCACUCUUUUUUUUUUUUUUUUUUUUUUUUUGAGAUGGGGUCUCCCUCUGUUGCUGAGGCUGGAGGGCAGUGGUGCAAUCUCAGCUCACUGCAACCUCCACUUCCUGGGUUCAAGUGAUUCUCCCCCCUCAGCCUCCGGAGUGGCUGGGAUUACAGGUGCAUACCACCACGCCCGGCUAAUUUUUGUAUUUUUAGUAGAGACGGAGUUUCAGCAUGUUGGCCAGGCUGGUCUCGAACUCCUGACCUCAAGUGAUCCACCUGCUUUGGCCUCCUAAAGUGCCGGGAUUACAGGUGAGAGCCACUGUGCCCGGCCACCUGUGCACUCUUUCAUGGGAUUUCUAAGCAGUGCCGGGAGGCAGGCAGGAUCGCUUUUGACUUAUGAUGAUGGAAGAAAAUUAAGCUAAAGUGGGUCAUCUUGUUUCAAAUGCAGUGAUUGUCCCAUCAUGCCUUGAAGCCUCUCGAAAGGAGAGGUGUGAGAGUCAGUACAACACUUUGCCAUCGGCAGAGGUCUUUGGGCUGGCUCUCGAUGCCUCUGGGCCCUGGAACAAGAGAACAAAUGGAGGCCGCCCACCAUGUGUCUAAAUAUUAUUUAAAAGUUAUUAAUUAGGGGCUGAGCGCAGUGGCUCAUGCCUGUAAUCCCAGCACUUAAAGAGACUGAGGCAAGAGGAUCGCUUGAGCCCAAAACUUCAAGACCAGCCUGGGCAACAUACAAGACCUUGUCUCUACAAAAAAAAUGUAAAAAUUUGCUGGGUGCGGUGGCGUGCCUAUAGUUUCAGCUAUUUGGGAGGCCAAGAUAGGAGGAUGGCUUGAGCCUGGGGAGUUGAGGCUGCAAUGAACCAAGACUGCACCACUGCACUCCAGCCUGGGCAACAGGGCGAGACCCUGUCUAAAAAAAAAAAAAAAAAAAACAAAAAACAGGCCGGGCGCGGUGGCUCACGCCUGUAAUCCCAGCACUUUGGGAGGCUGGGGCAGGUGGAUCACGAGGUCAGGUGAUUGAGGCCAUCCUGGUUAACACGGUGAAACCUCG
rnacentral:lncRNA from 1 species